rnacentral:rRNA from 1 species
GACGAACGCUGGCGGCGUGCUUAACACAUGCAAGUCGAACGGAGUGGCGAACGGGUGCGUAACACGUGGGUGCUCUGCCUUGCACUUCGGGAUCAGCUUGGGAAACUGGGUCUAAUACCGGCUCGUUCAAGCUGAGCUCGCGGCCUAUCAGCUUGUUGGUGGGGUAAUGGCCUACCAAGGCGGCGACGGGUCGCCGGCCUGCGAGGGGGUACGGACACAUUGGGACUGAGAUACGGGCCAGACGGCUACGGGAGGCAGCAAUGGGGAAUAUUGCAAAAUGGGCGGAGGCCUGAUGGAGCGACGCCGGGUGGGGGAUGAAGGCCUUCGGGGUGUAAACGCCUUUCGACAGAGACGCGGUACCUGUAUAAGAAGCACCGGCUAACUACGUGCCAGCAGCCGCGGUAAUAC